rnacentral:rRNA from 1 species
UACGAAGGGGGCUAGCGUUGCUCGGAAUUACUGGGCGUAAAGGGCGCGUAGGCGGACAGUUUGGUCAGAGGUGAAAGCCCAGGGCUCAACCUUGGAAUUGCCUUUGAUACUGGCUGUCUUGAGUUCGGGAGAGGUGAGUGGAAUGCCGAGUGUAGAGGUGAAAUUCGUAGAUAUUCGCAAGAACACCAGUGGCGAAGGCGGCUUACUGGUCCGGUUCUGACGCUGAGGUGCGAAAGCGUGGGGAGCAAACAGG